UACGUAGGGACCAAGCGUUGUUCGGAUUUACUGGGCGUAAAGGGCGCGUAGGCGGCAAUUCAAGUCAGUUGUGAAAUCUCCGAGCUUAACUCGGAACGGUCAACUGAUACUGUUUUGCUAGAGUUACAGAAGGGGCAAUCGGAAUUCUUGGUGUAGCGGUGAAAUGCGUAGAUAUCAAGAGGAACACCUGAGGUGAAGACGGGUUGCUGGGCUGAUACUGACGCUGAGGCGCGAAAGCUAGGGUAGCAAACGGG
rnacentral:rRNA from 1 species